rnacentral:rRNA from 1 species
UUAGAGUUUGAUCCUGGCUCAGGAUGAACGCUAGCGGCAGGCUUAACACAUGCAAGUCGAGGGGCAGCAUAAACAUUGCUUGCAAUGUUAGAUGGCGACCGGCGCACGGGUGCGUAACGCGUAUGUAACCUACCUUAAACAGGGGCAUAACACUGAGAAAUUGGUACUAAUUCCCCAUAACACCUGAAGGGGCAUCCUUUUUGGUUGAAAGUUCCGGCGGUUUAAGAUGGACAUGCGUUGUAUUAGCUAGUUGGUGGGGUAACGGCUCACCAAGGCGACGAUACAUAGGGGGACUGAGAGGUUAACCCCCCACAUUGGUACUGAGACACGGACCAAACUCCUACGGGAGGCAGCAGUGAGGAAUAUUGGUCAAUGGACGCAAGUCUGAACCAGCCAUGCCGCGUGCAGGAAGACGGCUCUAUGAGUUGUAAACUGCUUUUGUAUGAGGGUAAACCUAGGUACGUGUACCUAGCUGAAAGUAUCAUACGAAUAAGGAUCGGCUAACUCCGUGCCAGCAGCCGCGGUAAUACGGAGGAUCCAAGCGUUAUCCGGAUUUAUUGGGUUUAAAGGGUGCGUAGGCGGUUUUAUAAGUUAGAGGUUAAAUGUCAGUGCUUAACAUUGGCCUGCCUCUAAUACUGUAUGACUAGAGAUUAGAUGCGGUAGGCGGAAUGUAUGGUGUAGCGGUGAAAUGCGUAGAGAUCAUACAGAACACCGAUUGCGAAGGCAGCUUACCAAACUAAAUCUGACGUUGAGGCACGAAAGCGUGGGUAGCAAACAGGAUUAGAUACCCUGGUAGUCCACGCAGUAAACGAUGAUAGCUCGUUGUCGGCGAUACACAGUCGGUGACUUAGAGAAAUCGAUAAGCUAUCCACCUGGGGAGUACGUUCGCAAGAAUGAAACUCAAAGGAAUUGACGGGGGCCCGCACAAGCGGAGGAACAUGUGGUUUAAUUCGAUGAUACGCGAGGAACCUUACCCGGGCUUGACAUCCCUUUGACCGCUCCUUAAUCGGAGCUUUCCUUCGGGACAGAGGAGACAGGUGGUGCAUGGUUGUCGUCAGCUCGUGUCGUGAGAUGUUGGGUUAAGUCCCGCAACGAGCGCAACCCCUAUCUUUAGUAGCCAGCAUUUCGGAUGGGCACUCUAGAGAGACUGCCAGGGAUAACCUGGAGGAAGGUGGGGAUGACGUCAAAUCAUCAUGCCCCUUAUGACCAGGGCUGCACACGUGCUACAAUGGCGUAAACAAAGGGAAGCAACCACGUGAGUGUGAGCAAAUCUCAAAAAUAACGUCUCAGUUCGGAUUGUAGUCUGCAACUCGACUACAUGAAGCUGGAAUCGCUAGUAAUCGCGAAUCAGAAUGUCGCGGUGAAUACGUUCCCGGGUCUUGCACACACCGCCCGUCAAG